rnacentral:rRNA from 1 species
UACGUAGGCAGCGAGCGUUGUUCGGAGUUACUGGGCGUAAAGGGUGUGUAGGCGGUUCUUUAAGUUUGGUGUGAAAUCUCCCGGCUCAACCGGGAGGGUGCGCCGAAUACUGAGGGACUAGAGUAUGGGAUGGGAAAGUGGGAAUUCCUGGUGUAGCGGUGAAAUGCGUAGAUAUCAGGAGGAACACCUGUGGUGUAGACGGCUUUCUGGACCAUAACUGACGCUGAGACACGAAAGCGUGGGUAGCAAACAGG